AUUGAUCAACACGUACAUCGAAAACUUGAGGCAAUCAUCAGAAACAACGAGGCAGGUAGAAUCAUUCAUGCAAGUUCUGUCUGAUCCAGUCUGGUUUACCAAAGAAUCCAGAAGAAUGCUUUGGGAAGGAUUUGCGUUGGCCUUGGGCGUACUCCCGAAGUUCAUGCUUAAUGGUUACCUCGCUGGGAUACGCUUUGUUAGAGCGCUAAUUCUGAGUAUUGCUGAGACUGUCGGUGUUAAAAGAGAAGGGGAAAGCAAUAGUGUUAUCAAUGAGUCUAUCCUCACGCGACUCUUUCACUGUUGUUUUAAAGCUAUGAAUGAUUACACGAUCGACAGCUGAGGUGAUGUUGGAUCGUGGUCCCGCAAGGCGGCCAUGACAUGUUUAUCAAAACUCAUACUAGUUGUAACUGGGACGGAUUCCGAACUUCUCUCUAAAGAGACUUGCAAUGAAAUGAUGUGUUGUCUGCUAAAACAAUGCAGUGAAAAAAUCGAUCAUACGAGAGCACAUGCCGGAGAAAUAUUCCUGAAACUUAUUCACAAAGAGAAUCCUGUUAUUCCAAGAAUUCCUGAACACAAGCUCCUGUGUGACAUAUUUCCAAGAAAAGAUUCUGAGAAUUUAAAUUGGGGUGCCGCCGCUGAAGUUUUCCGGAAAAUUUCGCAGUUAUUGGAAAUACCGUGCCACCAAUAUGCCGUACUGAGUGGUAUAAUACUCAGCGCUGGUGGUCUUAGUGAGUCUUUGAUACGACAGGCUGAGAUCUCGUUAGAAAAUUUCCUCGGAAGACUAUCUGCAAGACGAGAGAAUGAAUUGAUCGAUCAUCUCUACAAAGUUAAACUUUGUCAUUGGGACAUUGCUGUCAGGGAACUCGUAUCCAAAGCUUUGUUUAAUCUUACUGUCCGAGAUCCAGUGAUGAUGGCGGAAGAAGUUCUUCCUGCAAUCUUACCUCAGACCGUUGGCUUGGAUCUUCACGCUAGGCACGGCAGCGUCUUAUGUGCAGCUGAAAUAACGCAUGCCUUGUAUCGCUACGGUGUUGAAAACAACAGGAGCUUAGAGGAUACACUUGGUGCUUCUUGUAUUGGUGCUUCUUGUAUUGGUGCAUUGGAGCAGAUCAUACCCAAGGAACGGGGCCAGCAAGUCUGUCCUGGGAUGAGCGUACUUACAAAUGCGGUGUGAUUUAUUUGGAGAAACUAAGACCUGCUGUUGCAAAUAACAAUUCGUUUCUUCAGCAAAAAGGCAAAAAAGAAAAAGAACCACUCUUCUUCUUGACAGUGAGAGGGAAUCCUCUACCUUCCUCGCAGAUUUCAACCAGGGUUACAAAGGUGGUUAAAAUGCUUGACCCGUCUAUUUCUGGAACUGUUACUGGAAAACGAAUACGAAAGUCGGCGGUGUCCCGCCAUAGACAAGUUGCUGAAUCAGGCAAAUCUGGUGGUCUUUCCAAGCAUGAACUUGCCCGGCAAAUGUCUCAUUCCACAUCGACCGCUGAAGGACACUACGCCAUGAGAGAUGCAGUAAAAGGUCGUGCAAAAGUAUCAAAUUUUCUACGAUAUGUCGCCACAACUACCCCUGAAAAAGGUGUUGAAAAACAUCCAGGAGAAAAUGAGCCAAAAUUUAUUGAACAAAGCCCUGAAAAAAGUCCGGAAGACAGUCAUUCGAGUCCAGAAAAAAGUCCGGAAAAAGUGGAGGGAAGAAGUCCUGAAAAAA
rnacentral:misc_RNA from 1 species